GAUGAACGCUGGCGGCGUGCCUAAUACAUGCAAGUAGAACGCUGAAGGAGGAGCUUGCUCUUCUGGAUGAGUUGCGAACGGGUGAGUAACGCGUAGGUAACCCGCCUGGUAGCGGGGGAUAACUAUUGGAAACGAUAGCUAAUACCGCAUGACAACAGUUAUUGCAUGAUAACUGUUUAAAAGGGGCAACUGCUCCACUACCAGAUGGACCUGCGUUGUAUUAGCUAGUUGGUGAGGUAACGGCUCACCAAGGCGACGAUACAUAGCCGACCUGAGAGGGGGAUCGGCCACACUGGGACUGAGACACGGCCCAGACUCCUACGGGAGGCAGCAGUAGGGAAUCUUCGGCAAUGGACGGAAGUCUGACCGAGCAACGCCGCGUGAGUGAAGAAGGGUUUCGGAUCGUAAAGCUCUGUUGUAAGAGAAGAACGAGUGUGAGAGUGGAAAGUUCACACUGUGACGGUAUCUUACCAGAAAGGGACGGCUAACUACGUG
rnacentral:rRNA from 1 species